AGAGUUUGAUCCUGGCUCAGGAUGAACGCUGGCGGCGUGCCUAAUACAUGCAAGUCGAGCGAAUGGAUUAAGAGCUUGCUCUUAUGAAGUUAGCGGCGGACGGGUGAGUAACACGUGGGUAACCUGCCCAUAAGACUGGGAUAACUCCGGGAAACCGGGGCUAAUACCGGAUAACAUUUUGAACCGCAUGGUUCGAAAUUGAAAGGCGGCUUCGGCUGUCACUUAUGGAUGGACCCGCGUCGCAUUAGCUAGUUGGUGAGGUAACGGCUCACCAAGGCAACGAUGCGUAGCCGACCUGAGAGGGUGAUCGGCCACACUGGGACUGAGACACGGCCAGACUCCUACGGGAGGCAGCAGUAGGGAAUCUUCCGCAAUGGACGAAAGUCUGACGGAGCAACGCCGCGUGAGUGAUGAAGGCUUUCGGGUCGUAAAACUCUGUUGUUAGGGAAGAACAAGUGCUAGUUGAAUAAGCUGGCACCUUGACGGUACCUAACCAGAAAGCCACGGCUAACUACGUGCCAGCAGCCGCGGUAAUACGUAGGUGGCAAGCGUUAUCCGGAAUUAUUGGGCGUAAAGCGCGCGCAGGUGGUUUCUUAAGUCUGAUGUGAAAGCCCACGGCUCAACCGUGGAGGGUCAUUGGAAACUGGGAGACUUGAGUGCAGAAGAGGAAAGUGGAAUUCCAUGUGUAGCGGUGAAAUGCGUAGAGAUAUGGAGGAACACCAGUGGCGAAGGCGACUUUCUGGUCUGUAACUGACACUGAGGCGCGAAAGCGUGGGGAGCAAACAGGAUUAGAUACCCUGGUAGUCC
rnacentral:rRNA from 1 species